CGGAUUUUUUUAGAUAUUCACACUAUGUCUAGAUGAAGGUAAAUAACCACACAAGUGUUUAUACAAGCACACAUGACAUACAGACACCUUCUCUUCUGUGUAUACUUAUGUUAUUUACCGAUUUUACAUAAGGAAAAUGUCAGUAGUUUCUAGUUCAGAAGAAAAGAGCCUGUCCUUUCGUUUUAUAUUACCCGUCAUUAUUUUGUCGCAUAGGGGGAAUUCAGUCUUGCUGAAACCGAGCUGGCUGAAAAUCUGCCGUGCAGCACCUAGGCUCCCUCUGGAGGGAGCGGAGCAGCACAAGCGCCUCCAGAUGGCGUCUGAUCCCGGCUCACCUGGCCGAGGAGGGAGAGCGAUUCCUAUUUCACGGGUGUGACAGAUGGCAGCAGAGGGGCAGUCUGACACAACGGCCUCUGAUGUGGAAGUGUGGAUCAAGUAAAGGUGUGUCACUGAAUUCCUUCAUGCAGAAAAAAUUGCACAGGUGUGCCUGCUGAGCAUUGAUGGAGACCAACCAGUGGAUGUGAGCACAGUUAGGCAGUGGGUGGUAGGCAUUUCAGCAGUGGAGACAGCGGGUUACUUCCACUGGUGCAGACUGUUAUGUGUGGCUCUUUUUCAUCACUGUUGAAAAUGCAACGCUCAUGGUGGUCACAGCUGAAAAAUCGUGUUUUGUAUUUAAGAAUUUGCUCUAUCAAACUGUGUUAUUGUGCCCUUUGUAUCCACUGUAGUUUCCGUGGAAAUAAAUAGAAGGCAUUAUGUGUGGAGCAACCUACAUACAUUCUGCUGGAUCUGGAAGUCCAAGAGAGGCAAGGCCUCUGCAACGCUGCACGCCUAGGUGCCUCCAGUAGUGAGCCUGAAAAUGUAUGUCCAGGAGGUACCUGCACACAGAGCACAUAGAUAUAUAUAUACCAGAUGCAUACACAUGCAUACAUCCAACUGGCCUCAUGAAUCCCGAACCAUCAAAUGAACAGAGCACCAAUGGCCUCACCUUUUCCCCUUCCUGGUGGAGUGAGUCCUUCACUGGGAGUGUAUAUCCUGUAUAUGAGAUGGAUCCAUUCAGCAGCUGGUCUUGUGCUCCCCAGCUUAUGGCACUUGGACACAUGAAGGCUCCGGGGAGACGUUAUAGUGGCAUUUGCAGUGCUUACAGAGCACCUACAGGAGAGAUGAAGAGGGGAUUCUUCAUCAAGGGUUGCAGUGACAGGACAAGGGCUAAUGGUUUUCAGCUAAAUGAGGAUAGGUUAAAGUUAGAUAUAAGAAAUAAAUUCUUCAUAAUGAGGGUGAUGAGGUCCUGGCAUAGGAUCCCCAGAGAAGCUGUGGAUGUCCCAUCUCUUGAAGUGCUCAAGGCCAGCUUAGAUGUGGCCCUGGGCAAUUUGACCUAGUGGAAGGUGUCCACACACAUGGCAGCAGAGUGGGAACUAGAUGGUCUUUAAAAUUGCAUCCAAUAAAAACAAUUCAAUGAUUCUGUGAUUCUAAAUGCAGAGCAGGGCCAGAAAAGUGCAUUCAACAGUGCUUGCUUAAAUACAAAUUAAUCCUUUUAUUUCCUUGUGUCUCUGUUUCCCCCAUUUUUCCCUACCCAAAUGACCUAAAUCCCUCCUUUUUUUUUUUUCUUACCUUUGAUCCUGCCCCUAAACAUCCUACAGUAAAUCCUGUGCAAUCCCAACUGUCCUUCCCUGCAUCCCAUAAUGUGUCUCAUGCCAAGGCAGCAACUGUCUGAAGUCCAAGUUGUUUCAGAGAACUGCUCCCAGUGUCUCACAGUGGUGAGUUUCACAACUGGAUGCCAGGGCUCUGGAUCUGCUGGCACAACCCUGGGAGGGUCCCAGACAGAAUGCCCCUUCCUGUGAGUCUUUGAGUCCCCCUAUCUGCCUUUGAUGGGUCUUUGAUGGGCUGGUGGCACCUGGGCCAGGGAGUGGUUUGGCAGGACUCCCCCCUCCUUAUUCCCUCUGAGGUUCAUUUGUAGGUCUGCAGACCAGCUUUUGUCAUAUACUGAGUUUAUCUUGUAACUAUACUGAGCUAAAAUUUAGUAAGACAAAAAAAAAAAAAUAGCUGCAUGAGACUAGAAGAGCCAUCCCAUCCUAAAUAUUUGCCUUCUGAGACAAAUUUGAUAUCCGGUCUGCUUUGGUUUUAAGUAUAUAUUAUAGCUCUGGCUAGUCUAUUACAGAUAUAAUUUACAUGUUAGGUCACUUCAUGUCCUAUCUGUCAGAACACACUAUCAUCACUACACAAAAGAUGUUUUCCUGUUUCUUUGAGAGAGUGCAGGAUGACAACAUCUCUUGAAUAAAUUUUGGUGGAUGAUAGAUAAUUUCAUCACCAAAAUUACAUCAAUUAUCAUCCUGUCUGCAUUUGUUAGUUUCGGGGGCGAGUUAGAGAGGAAAUGUGAUGAUGUUAUGUCAGUGGGUGUAAAAGCAGCUUUCAGUUCCUAAGCACUUCAUAAAAGUAAUGCUCUACCAUGCAACUUCACAGGGUCAUUCUUAAGUUCUCCGUUAUGCUUUGUACAACAAAUUUUACCUGCAAAUAAUGUGAAGUAAAAAAAAUAAAAAAAUAAAAAAAAUUCAAUCAUCCACUGUGUGAUUUCAAAAGAAUGUCAGUAGGAUAGAAAAUUUAGAACAUGAAUAGAUUCUUACUUAGUGUGCAUUUGUGUAGCCCCACUGAUUUUUCUACAGGCAGAAUUGACUUCAGCAAGCCUUGUCCCAGGAGGUGACCAAUAUUUCACUAAACUACGUUGGCAUGUCACCUGCCUCCUAUCCCCAAACAUAUAUCAGCAUGGCUUCUGAGCACCAAGCUUAUCUUCCAGGUUUUAUGUACAAUUAUAGUGUGAUAGAAGUCAGUAAAAAUCUCCUUCAUAGUUGGAGAUCUUAAGAGAUUUUCUGGUAAUGUGUUAGAAGUAGUGAUAAGCAAGGCAUGCUGUCAGUACCUGAAAAAAUAUCUUUUCUACUAUGUUUCAGAGUGGCCCAUAGUAGUUCUUGUUUAACAUCACGUCUAGUGGAUUAUCAACUGCUUUAUAGAAGAGUGAACUGUAAGUAACCUUAUAUUUGCCUACGUAAUGUGCUGAAAAUAUUCCCAGCUGCAGUGCAGCUUGAACUUGCAAUUGAGAUCUUCAAGUACAAUUGAAGUCAUAGUUCCAAAAAUAAAGCUUGACUUGAACUACAAGACCUGAGAGAAUUUGAAGAGUUUAUCCUAACAAGCAAUCCCAUAAGUAAGAGUUUCUCAACAGGCAAAUAUAUGUAAGUUACUCCAAAAGCAAUGCUUCUUGCUUAUUUCCAUGGAAACUGCAAUAGAUACAAAGAGCAAAAUAGCACUAUUUGAUAGAGCAAAUUCUCAACAUUUUUCACCUUAGUCACCACCAUUAGCUAUGCAUUUUUGCCAGUGGUAAACAAGAGCCUUCAUGUCAUACCCACUGCCUCACUGUGCUCACAACCAGUGUUUAGUCUCCAUAAAUGUUCAGCAGGCCUCAAUGAACAUCAGUGGGUGCUAUUUCUUCUGCAUGGAGGAGUUCAAUGACACACCUUUGCUUCAUCUGCACUUCCACAUCAGACACCAUUGUGUCAGACUGUCCCUCUCCUGCUAUCUGUUUUAUGGCAACAAAAUAGAACGGGAUACUCUCAGUAAGGUUCGACUUCUAUUGCCAUAUCACUAACAUUUGGAGCAGUCUCAUAAAAUCGAACUCCUGCACUUUGUCAUUACUGUUUUUGAGAAUAAAGCCCCUUUUAUGUAGAUCCCCUUGACUAAUUCUCUGCAAAAGGCAGUCGUAACUGUGGAAGCAGUUCUAAUUUGCUCCUUUUGAAAAUGAAAUGGGGAAAAGUCACCAGAAUGUAAUGCAACUGCUUGAGUUGGGAGCUAAACAUUAUUUUGAGAUUCAUACUGGAGAACUUAUAGUAGGAUUUUCAGCUAUUAAGGAACUUGAUCUUAUCUCUUAUCUUCAAAGGCAAUACCUCUAGCAAGUUAGUGUUUCCUGCCAUAGGGAAAGGCAAGGUUGUAAAGAGCAGACCUGAGGAAGGCGUGCUGCCUGGUGAGUUACCAACACCUACACACUGCAGCAUUUAGAUUUUUUUUGGAAGCUUCUCACCCAGAUACUAUCCAUCCCCAUCUGUGCUCAGCUUGAGAGCUCUGCCGUUAGCCAGAGCUCAAAGCUGCAGGCCAAAUUGGAGAUGCAUGAUCUGAUCAAAAUUUCCUUUUAUCCUACCUCAAGAAUAAGUGACUGAAAUGAAUUCCAUCAGCUCUAUACAUUUGUAGAGGUGUCCCCGGCGCAUUCAAACUGAUUGGCUUAUUGCCAUAAUGGUUUCAGGAAUGUAGUGCAGUAUAAAUGCAUGAGUUCUUUGCCGUAGCACAUUACAAUCAAAAUUCCUACACAUCGACACCUGCUAUUAUUUAAAUUGCUUACUGCAACUCCAUUGAACAUGGCACUUUAUUACAAUGGAUGCUUAGCAAGAAAAUCAAAUAGGAGGGGACAAAGGGAUAAAAUCUCAAGAAAAUGAGAGCACAUAAUCAAAGAAAAAAUAUAUAACGUUUUGGGAUCUCCACUGUUAUCCUCACAAUAUUAAAUCACUCUUUUCUAGUCUAGCAGGGCAGAAUCUGAAUCACUCAGAAGCUAAAUGCAAGUUUGCGUUGCUGAAAUAGGCACUAAUAGGUGAAAUCAUGAUUAUGUAAAAAUCACCAUCAAACUUCCCAAAUUCAGCAUGGCCAGGAAUUCAUCUCAAGUGACUAAAAGUGUCCAAAAAGAAUUCUGUGAGAGUCCAAUACAUUUUCUUACUCAUAUCUUAUUCAUAGCUAUUCAAGUCAUACCCUGCCACUAGAGAGGCAGAACAUUAAAAAAUAUGCAAUAUUUUUCAGGGCUACACAAAGUAAAAUGUGUCUAAAGGGCCCAUUCAACAAUCCAUCUGCACGAAAUCUUCAACACAGAACUCUGACUCAAAGGAUACCAUCAUUUUUUUUCCUAAUAUUUAGGCCCUAGUAGCUAUUUUUCUUAAGAUGGAACUUCUCAGUCAGAAGAGCUAGAUCGUCUGAGGUUGGGCAGUUCUGUCAGUAUUAGAGUUCCAAGAAUUGUGUGCCUUUCAUAGUAAUCUUAUUUGUGAAUAAAUGCUUUUUCUUUCCUUUAAUAGCCUGACAUCCUUCUCAGUGUCACUGAAACAAAAUCAAUUUUUGUUUUUAAAUUGCUUGUCUAGUUUUGUCUUUAUAUUAUAACUUUUAUGAGCACCAAUAUGAAGCAGAAAGAAAUAGGUUUGACUCACAGACAGCCUUAUUCCCCUCCCCCCUCGAUGAGCUCUCUUGCAAAUUACAUCAGUUUUGUUACAUUACAAAACAAAGCCAAUUUUGAAUUUCUCCACGAAAUAGGAUUUUCAUAUUUUGUACAGUUUUACCAUUAGAUUUCACUUUCACUGAUGGCAGAUGAAAUGUUUGGAAUGCACUUCCCAUUUGAUUUUUCUUGGUUAAUGAUUUCUCCAGUCAGCCAAUAAAUUACCUCUCCUUGGCCUCUCUCAGGCAUUCUACUCUUGGAAGAGACUCCUCAAAGUUCCACGGCAAAAGAAUUUAUUUAAUUUAAAUCUUGAGGUGAUAAAGCUUCCAGUGACACAUUAACACUUAAAUAAUAACAGCCAUCUCUACACUGCCUCUUCAUAGUCCAACUGACUGCACUAUUUUCCAGUUAAUUACCCAGCUGAUUUAUACAAAAAGUUGUUAGUGAAAUCUAAAUUCACUAAAUAUCUAAUUUCAGUGCUCUCCUUACAUGGACUAGCAGAGAGCUGCAUGACUGUGUAAUAGCCUGCUAUUUGCAUCUUUCUGUGCUAUAAUUGUCCCCCUCUUUUAGCAAUCUGUUCAUAUUUUCAGAUGCAUAACAGGAACAUACCAGUUUCUUGGUAUCUUUGUCACUAUUACAUUUACAUGCCAUUUUCAUUGCUGGUUUCCUUGAAGAGCCAGGGGCCAAAGUCACUUUGCACCUGUAUUAUCUAUAGUUCUUAGGUUGGACAGAUCAGAAAGCUUAAGAUUGUGCAUAUUAAGAAGAACAUUUUGUUCCUAUUUGGAUAUUAAGAGCAAACAGCAGCAUUUGUCAGACUCUUUCUCCAUUACAAUGUAAAAUCCUUCUACAACCACAUACAAACUGCUCUAUAUCUAAACUCUUUCUCUAAAGGCAAUCUGUACGGUGUUAUUUUUCAUGGCUGAAAUUGCUGGCAUUUAUGCCUCAACUAUGUUCAAAUAAUCACCCUGAAAACUGGAAUAUUUCUCAGUUUUAAUGUAAGUCUCCCUCCAGGAGCUGAAGUUAAUGCCGAAGUUACAUAGCAAAAAAUGUAUGAAAAAUUUCUCUAUUGUCUCUGAGUUAAGUGAAAUCUUCACUGUACUUUUUCCUCCCCUCCCUGCCCCACUUUUAUAAAGCGCUUGUGGGCAGAUAAAUGCUUGACAGUUGAAUUGUUUAAGCUUUGCCAUGAAAAAAAGUGAUAUUAGUACCUGAGCAAGUAUAAUUUGUGACUUGGAAAUAAAAGAGGGCUGUAACAGUGAGAUCCAUGAAUUGCCAUAUAUCGUUUGAAUUAUGCAUGCAAACUUUAUGGAAUAACCUAUCAACUGAUCAUCUCCUUUUUGUCAUUUGAUGCAUAUUAAUUUUAUGCUCUACUGCUUCAGCUGCUAUUUCAUUAGAAUGUUUACUGCUGUUUAAGGUAUAUUACUUCACAGCAGAAAUAAAAGUUGUUAUAUGCAAAUAUUCUUUUCCCCUUCAGCGUUAUAACCUGUGUAAAAUUUAUUCUCUUCAAAAUUAAAUACAACGAGAUAAUGACUACAGUGUUGUAAUUUUUGUGAUUAUGUAGGCACAUUGUUUUCCUUUAUUCUAAGUCUUCUUGAAUAAUUUAAAAAUCAACAAUAGAAAAAAUAACUCCCCUGUCUUAGAGUAUAGGAUCAUAUAAUCAUAGAAUGGCUUGGGUUGAAAGGGACCUCAGAGAUCAUCCAGUUCUGACCUCUGCUGCGGGCAGGGUAUGUUGUGAUUUCUUUUUUUCCAGACGGUGGUUGGUAAUGGAAAAUGCUGGGAACCAAUAGAGUUGACUUGAGCUAAGCAGCAUGUCAACUUGAUGAUAAAUGGUUAGGUUGAACCUUUCCUAAAUCUGUUUUGGAAAGGCCAAUUUUUUUGUGUACUCAUUGGUCAGAGUGAUUAUUUCCAACUACCUGCUCUAAUUUCAACGCUGUACUAACAAACCUGCAUGACCACAGGGAAAUACAAUCACGAAGUCCAUAUAGUUAGAUGACACCUACAGUUGCAGUGUCACUGUAACUAAAUGAGCUGACAAAUCAGAUACAGAAAACACAGAAAAUACAUGCAACCUGGAGAACGGAGAUUUCUGGGGGAAGGAAGGGGAGAGUAUGUAGCUGGCAGUAACUGAGCAGCACUGGUUGUGAGGGCUGCAGGGCAGGUGCCUUGGGAAGCCCUGUUACCAGGGAUGUGAGCUGGGCCUGCAGCUCACCUCAGGUUGGCAGGUGGCUGAGUCUCAGGGAUGUCUUCCUGAGCUGUCUGCUGAUAGGCUCCCAGACCAAGGGAAAGCACAUGGCGCUCUGAUGCUAAACAUCGUAGGAGAAAUAAUAAAAAAAUAAUUUUAAAGACUGUUUUGUUCUAGUAGUUAUGCAUAAACCCACACAGGGGAGUUUAACUUUUUAUUCUGUUUCCUUACGCAGUAUUUCAUGACCACUUUUUCUUUUACUUCACUGGAGCGCUAAUGUUCAUGGAAGUCUGCCUUUUUGUUUCCAGAUGAAAUAUUAGGCAUUAGGCAUCACGGUCUGUUUCAAAAAAAUAAAAAUGAGCAAAGCAGAGAGGUUUGGUUUUUUUUUUUCAGCGAAUACUUUUUCUUUUCUAAAAAUAAGAUUUGUGGUGUUUUUAGUUUCUAAAGAAUAAGUUGUCUGAAGUCUAAAAUAAAAAUCUUCUUGAAAAAUUCCUUUUUAUUCCAGUAAUGCUAAUGCAAAUAUGAAACAGAAAGACGUGGUGAAUCAAACGGCAUACAUCCAUUAGGAAUACUUCACUUUAAACUCUGUAUCUUAUAAAAUUGCCCAAAUGAUAGAAUCUGUUAUGAAAGACUUCUUCUCCUAUGUCUGAUUUUAAAAUGGGACAGGAGAGGUUUAGUUUAGAUAUUAGGAGGAAGUUUUUCACUCAGAGGGUGUUGUCACACUGGAACGGGUUGCCCUAGGAGGUUAUGGAUGCCCCAUCCCCGGAGGCAUUCAAACCUGGGCUGGAUGUGGCUCUGGGCAGCCUGGUCUAGUGGUUGAUGAUCCUGCCUAUAACAGGGGGGUUGAUGAUUCUAUGAUUCUAUGAAUACUCACCUGAGAUACUUUGUUAACUCAGUCUUCUUCAGAGUAUUGUUUUUUACAGUGUAUGGAAAGCACAGCUCUGGAAUUUCAGUCAAUUAUUUCAAGAUAAGCAUUUAUGUUUGGAUAUUUAUUUUUAGAAAUACAUAUAUGUAAUGCAUUCGUAUGAAUAUAACCAUAUUAAUAUACGUUUAUAUAAAGCUUUGUGUUUGCAUAUAUUAAAAUUUACGUGGUGCUGUUGCAAUUAGUUUUAUUCCUGACUUGAAUACCAUCUACCAUCUCUAAUACGGUAUCAGUAGUGACUAUCAGGAGUAGUAAGAUAGCUUACCAUCUUGUUCUGGCCUUUGCACUCUGGCCAAGUGCUGUGGCUGUGACCAGAAGGUCUGGCCACCCAGAGGGCGCAGCUGCUGCCUGCACCUUUGUGCUCUUUCA
ensembl:lncRNA